rnacentral:rRNA from 1 species
CGGACGGGUGAGUAAUGUCUGGGAAACUGCCUGAUGAGGGGGGGUAACUACUGGAAACGGUAGCUAAUACCGCAUAACGUCUUCGGACCAAAGUGGGGGACCUUCGGGCCUCACGCCAUCGGAUGUGCCCAGAUGGGAUUAGCUAGUAGGUGGGGUAAUGGCUCACCUAGGCGACGAUCCCUAGCUGGUCUGAGAGGAUGACCAGCCACACUGGAACUGAGACACGGUCCAG